UACGUAGGUGGCAAGCGUUGUCCGGAAUUAUUGGGCGUAAAGCGCGCGCAGGUGGUUUCUUAAGUCUGAUGUGAAAGCCCACGGCUCAACCGUGGAGGGUCAUUGGAAACUGGGGGACUUGAGUACAGAAGAGGAAAGCGGAAUUCCACGUGUAGCGGUGAAAUGCGUAGAGAUGUGGAGGAACACCAGUGGCGAAGGCGGCUUUCUGGUCUGUAACUGACGCUGAGGCGCGAAAGCGUGGGGAGCAAACGGG
rnacentral:rRNA from 1 species